AGUGGCGAACGGGUGAGUAAUGCAUCGGAACGUACCGUGUAGUGGGGGAUAACGUAGCGAAAGUUACGCUACUACCGCAUACGCCCUGAGGGGGAAAGUGGGGGACCGCAAGGCCUCACGCUAUAUGAGCGGCCGAUGUCGGAUUAGCUAGUUGGUAGGGUAAAGGCCUACCAAGGCGACGAUCCGUAGCGGGUCUGAGAGGAUGAUCCGCCACACUGGGACUGAGACACGGCCCAGACUCCUACGGGAGGCAGCAGUGGGGAAUUUUGGACAAUGGGCGCAAGCCUGAUCCAGCCAUGCCGCGUGAGUGAAGAAGGCCUUCGGGUUGUAAAGCUCUUUCAGACGGAAAGAAAUCUCUCGGGAUAACACCCUGGGAGGAUGACGGUACCGUAAGAAGAAGCACCGGCUAACUACGUGCCAGCAGCCGCGGUAAUACGUAGGGUGCGAGCGUUAAUCGGAAUUACUGGGCGUAAAGCGUGCGCAGGCGGUGAUGUAAGACAGAUGUGAAAUCCCCGGGCUCAACCUGGGAACUGCGUUUGUGACUGCAUCACUCGAGUACGGCAGAGGGAGGUGGAAUUCCGCGUGUAGCAGUGAAAUGCGUAGAUAUGCGGAGGAACACCGAUGGCGAAAGGCAGUCCUCCUGGGCCAGUACUGACGCUCAUGCACGAAAGCGUGGG
rnacentral:rRNA from 1 species